GACGAACGCUGGCGGCGUGCUUAACACAUGCAAGUCGAGCGGUAAGGCCCUUUCGGGGUACACGAGCGGCGAACGGGUGAGUAACACGUGGGUGACCUGCCCUCAGGCUCUGGGAUAAGCCUGGGAAACUGGGUCUAAUACCGGAUAUGACUCCAUGACGCAUGUUGUGGGGUGGAAAGCCUUGUGCGGCUGAGGAUGGGCCCNCGGCCUAUCAGCUUGUUGGUGGGGNGAUGGCCUACCAAGGCGACGACGGGUAGCCGG
rnacentral:rRNA from 1 species